rnacentral:rRNA from 1 species
GACGAACGCUGGCGGCGUGCUUAACACAUGCAAGUCGAACGGAAAGGCCUGCUUUCCCUUGUGGAUUGCGGGUACUCGAGUGGCGAACGGGCGAGUAACACGUGAGUGAUCUGCCCCCAACUUGGGUAUAAGCCUGGGAAACUGGGUCUAAUUCCCGAUAGGACUGCAGGGUGGUGCCCGUGGUGGAAAACGAUUUUCUAGUGGUUGGGGAUGAGCGCGCGGCCUAGCAGCUUGUUGGUGGGGGAAUGGCCUGCCAGGGCGGCGACGGGUAGCCGGACCGAGGGGGUGGACGGCCCCUUUGGGGCGUGGAUGCGGCCCAGACUCCUACGAGAGGCAGCAGUGGUGAAUGUUGCGCAGUAGGCGGGAGCCUGAUACAGCGAGGCCGCGUGGGGGAUGACGGCGUUCGGGUUGUUAGCUCCUUUCGACCGCGAGGAAGCCACCUGGUUGGAAGGGUAGUGACGGUAGUGGUAGAAGAAGCACCGGCUAACUACGUG